UUGAAAGGGAAACGAUUGAAGUCAGUCGUACUCACGGGUAAUCAACCUUUCUGGCGCGAUUAUGUGGAUGUGUUGGAGCCUAAUCAGCCCUCACGUCUUUAUAUUUGUUCCUUUUGGGUGUACUUGCCCGUGCGGUAGGUUAACAUCAAUUCCGGACGUCAUAAAAUGACGGGAGGAAUGUAGCUUCGGUCUCGGCUGAAGUGUUAUAGACUCUGGUAGAUGUGACGUCUGGGAUUGAGGAUUGCAACGGAUACCUCUCGGGGCUACCUGUCUGGCCUCUGAUGAUUGCUUUGGUGCCGAAAGCUUGCUUACGGUCAUCAAAGUUGAUUGUCAAAAGGUUAGAACGGGUUAAAUUCGUUAAGGAUGUUGACGUA
rnacentral:rRNA from 1 species